rnacentral:rRNA from 1 species
UCGAGGAUCAUUCGCAAUGGGCGAAAGCCUGACGAUGCGACGCCGUGUGAGCGAUGAAGGCCUUCGGGUUGUAAAGCUCUUUCGCUUGGGAACAAGAGAAUUUGGUGAAUAACCGGAUGAUUUGAGGGUACCAGGUAAAGAAGCACCGGCUAACUCCGUGCCAGCAGCUGCGGUAAUACGGAGGGUGCAAGCAUUAAUCGGAUUUAUUGGGCGUAAAGGGCGCGUAGGCGGGUAUGUAAGUCAGAUGUGAAAUUCCGGAGCUCAACUUCGGAGCUGCAUUUGAAACUGCAAACCUAGAGGAUUGGCGGAGAAAACGGAAUUCCACGUGUAGCGGUGAAAUGCGUAGAUAUGUGGAAGAACACCUGUGGCGAAAGCGGUUUUCUAGCUUAGACCUGACGCUGAGGCGCGAGAGCAAGGGGAGCAAACAGGAUUAGAUACCCCCGUAGUCC